rnacentral:rRNA from 1 species
GAUGAACGCUGGCGGCGUGCCUAAUACAUGCAAGUCGAGCGAACGGACGAGAAGUUUGCUCUUCUGAUGUUAGCGGCGGACGGGUGAGUAACACGUGGAUAACCUACCUAUAAGACUGGGAUAACUUCGGGAAACCGGAGCUAAUACCGGAUAAUAUUUUGAACCGCAUGGUUCAAAAGUGAAAGACGGUCUUGCUGUCACUUAUAGAUGGAUCCGCGCUGCAUUAGCUAGUUGGUAAGGUAACGGCUUACCAAGGCAACGAUGCAUAGCCGACCUGAGAGGGUGAUCGGCCACCCUGGAACUGAGACACGGUCCAGACUCCUACGGGAGGCAGCAGUAGGGAAUCUUCCGCGAUGGGGGAAAGCCUGACGGAGCAACGCCGCGUGAGUGAUGAAGGUCUUCGGAUCGUAAAACUCUGUUAUUAGGGAAGAACAUAUGUGUAAGUAACUGUGCACAUCUUGACGGUACCUACACAGAAAGCCACGGCUAACUACGUG